GUCUUCAGUACGAAGCACCUUAAGCCGCCUACGCAUCAUAAGCAAUUUGCUCUCUGCACACCACUAGGUAGGGCGCAGAGUAAAGCGCAGAAAGCAAAGUGCAUCACAGGUAUUUGUCAUCAAGG